AGUUGGUAGGGGUAACGGGCCUACCAAGGCGAUGAUGCAUAGCCCCGAGUUGAGAGACUGAUCCGGGCCACAGUUGGGGACUGAGACACGGGCCCAAAACUCCUACGGGGAGGCAGCAGUAGGGAAUCUUCCACAAUGGACGCAAGUCUGAUGGAGCAACGCCGCGUGAGUGAAGAAGGGUUUCGGCUCGUAAAAGCUCUGUUGUUGGUGAAGAAGGACAGGGGUAGUAACUGACCUUUGUUUGACGGUAAUCAAUUAGAAGUCACGGCUAACUACGUGCCAGCAGCCGCGGUAAU
rnacentral:rRNA from 1 species